UCUGUCUAGGGUGAAUAUAAUGAAGCAAGGCUGAGAGCUAUUUUGGGAAGCUGAGGACUCUGGUACUAGGGGCCUGUCCUCUCUCUCUAGUCUACCUGCAACACAGCUGAUUGGAUUGCAGUGAGUGAAAGGUCCCAUGAGAAUACAUCCAUGAAUGAAGGACCAAGGGUCAUAUCAAAUUAUGGGGAUAGGCAGGCAUCUAUUUUCGGACAGCCAGCCCAGAGACAGUCAUGCUUCACUGACCCCUCGGCAGCUGGUCAACUACUGAUCUUUAAAAACACUACACAUGGUUCAGUGGUCAGAUGAAGGCCUUAUAGUGAGGAAACUGUGAAUACAUUUUCUUCAGGACAUCAAAAGGUGACACAUGGGCCAGUGAACAGCUGAUGUCCUUAUAGUGAGGCAGCCAUGUAAUCAUCAACAUCAGAGUAAUACUGUGGUGACACAUGGGCCAGUGAUCAGCUGAUGUCCUUAUAGUGAGGCAGCCAUGUAGUCAUCAACAUCAGAGCAAUACUGAGGUGACACAUUGGCCUGUGAUCAGCUGAUGUCCUUAUAGUGAGGAAGACUCCCUGCUGUCAACUUAAUCAAAGGAAAAUGCCAUAGGAGAGCUGAAUGUCCUAAUAAUGAGGACAAGCAAUCCUGCCCAAAGAAAGGCACUGAGAUGACAAUAGAAACUUUCAUAUUUUUGUACUUGAAAAAGUAAACAAAUGAAACCAAACAGAAUUCUCAAUCUGCUCAGCAGGAUUAAACACAACAAGCUGAAGCUGGCGCUAUAGUGAAGCUGCCAGGGAUACAAUUGUUACAUCACUGCCUGGACAAUGGCAGCCUUGAAUGGACCAGCAAUUAACAAAGUCUCAACAGAAGGCCAGCCUGGUUUAUUGAGCCAUUGCAUCAGAGGUCUGGUCAACAAUAUCUUUGCCUGACCCAACACAGGCCACAGAACCAGUGUGCUUUCAUCAAGCAAGUAUGUGAGGAAUUUCAACUGUCCAGUCCAAGUCCACAGAAUAGGUUCUCAUUGCAUCACACCAGCCACGAUGUAAUUAGCAUAUAUCAGGUCAAAGGUCACUGGUGUAUAAUAAAUAUAUCUCAAUCCCAAUAUAACUGUUAAAACUAUGAAUAAACAAAGGAAACAGUACUAGUCUAUUCAUAUCAGAACAGACGGUUAUGAAAGCACAAGAGCCCACAAUGUUGACUUGUGUGCAAGUGAAAGUUAUCGUCACAUAGGCAGUAUUUCAGCCAUACACAAGGGAAAAAAUACAUCGAUGACAAAUAUAUUUCAACAGUAUAAAAUCUGAUUUUGGAA